rnacentral:rRNA from 1 species
UACAGAGGUGGCGAGCGUUGUUCGGAUUUACUGGGCGUAAAGGGCGCGUAGGCGGCGGCGUAUGCCGGGUGUGAAAUCCGUGGGCCCAACCCACGAACUGCGCCCGUAACUGCGUUGCUAGAGUACGGGAGGGGGGAUCGGAAUGCAGGGUGUAGCGGUGAAAUGCGUUGAUAUCCUGCAGAACACCGGAGGCGAAGGCGGAUCCCUGGAACGUUACUGACGCUGAGGCGCGAAAGCAGGGGGAGCAAACAGGAUUAGAUACC